rnacentral:rRNA from 1 species
ACCGGCAUCUAGCUGUCUGCAACUCUCAUAAUGUCGCCCAUUGAAGCUAAGCAGGGCUGUGCCUGAUCAGUACCUGGAUGGGAGACUACAAGGGAAAACUAGGUUGCUGCCGGAA